rnacentral:rRNA from 1 species
AUUGAACGCUGGCGGCAUGCUUUACACAUGCAAGUCGAACGGCAGCGCGGGCUUUGGCCUGGCGGCGAGUGGCGAACGGGUGAGUAAUACAUCGGAACGUGCCCAGUAGUGGGGGAUAGCUCGGCGAAAGCCGGAUUAAUACCGCAUACGACCUGAGGGUGAAAGCGGGGGAUCUUCGGACCUCGCGCUAUUGGAGCGGCCGAUGGCAGAUUAGCUAGUUGGUGGGGUAAAGGCCUACCAAGGCGACGAUCUGUAGCUGGUCUGAGAGGACGACCAGCCACACUGGGACUGAGACACGGCCCAGACUCCUACGGGAGGCAGCAGUGGGGAAUGUUGGACAAUGGGCGAAAGCCUGAUCCAGCAAUGCCGCGUGUGUGAUGAAGGCCUUCGGGUUGUAAAGCACUUUUGGCGGGAACGAAAAGGACUGUGCCAAUACCACGGUUCGAUGACGGUACCCGCAGAAUAAGCACCGGCUAACUACGUG